rnacentral:sRNA from 1 species
AUGACUAUAUGGCUAUAUGCAAGGGAAGAUAAUUAAAGUGUUAACUUAGAUUACUAAAAUAUCAU